rnacentral:tRNA from 1 species
GGCCUAUUGGUGGUCUAGUGGUAUGAUUCUCGCUUAGGGUGCGAGAGGUCCCGGGAUUCGAUCUCCUGGCAUGGCCC